GUGCCAGCAGCCGCGGUAAUACCGGCAGCUCAAGUGAUGUCCCAUAUUAUUGGGCCUAAAGCGUCCGUAGCCGGCCGAGCGGGUCCGUCGGGAAAUCCACGUGCUCAACGCGUGGGCGUCCGGCGGAAACCACUCGGCUUGGGGGCGGAAGACUCGAGGGGUACGUCUGGGGUAGGAGUGAAAUCCCGUAAUCCUGGACGGACCGCCGAUGGCGAAAGCACCUCGAGAAGACGGACCCGACAGUGAGGGACGAAAGCCAGGGUCUCGAACCGGAUUAGAAACCCCUGUAGUCC
rnacentral:rRNA from 1 species